AUGCAACCCCUACCCCACCUCCCUCCUGGCACCACCAUUGUCGCUCCUAGCCCCCUACGCGAGCAGAGAGGCUAUGUUAUCAUGGGUGGAGAGCUUCCCAUGGUUUGCGACGAGUGGGCAAUCGCCACGCUGGUUCCUGGCAUUGCCCCUGAGGAAUUCCAUGGCGCCAACGCCAUGAUCAUCAACUUCUUGGAAAACAGAGGCUGGCGAAUCAACUACUCCUCGCGCUGUGGUAUGGGAUCUGCUCUUAUUCAAUUCACUACUGCCUGCUCUCGGGACACCGCCAUUGCAAAUAGCCCUUAUCAGAUCGGAGACUCUGUUUUGAGGAUUUCUAGGCAGGACCGUGGCUUGAACUAUCGCAGUAUUACAUUUACUCAUGAUGUCUGGCUUAUGCUUAUGAAUUACCCCCUGGAAUGCUGGGAUGUGAACGUAAUUAGUCGCACUGUGACCCCCUAUGGUAGAUUUCUCAUACGGAACAAAGAUCCUAGGGACAAAACCAGAGUCAUUGUGAAGGUUAGAGUAAUUAACCCUGAUACUUUGCCCUUGAGCAUUGUUGUGCUGGGCAAUCUUGAUGACAUCGGUUAUGGAGACUCCCGGACAUGUCCUACUUACAUCUUAUCUAGAGAGAUCAUUGGACAACAGGGUGGUGAUGAAGAUCCACUGCCCCCUGAUGGUGGAAACCCUCACCCUCUGCCACAUAUCCAUGGUGGUUUCUGGCAUGAUGAAGUGAUUGGAAAUAUUCCUAUGGAACAAGUGGUUAUCAAUCCACACAAUGAGAACCUGGGUGCUCCAUAUGAGGAUGUGCAUGCUGCAGAUGGCCAAUUCAAUGUUGCAGAGACACAGGAACAAUUUCAGGUUGCUAUUGGCAACAACAUACCAGAUGCUGCACCUGCUGCUGGGAAUGAGGUUCCUGCUGCUAUGAAUGAGGUCCAUACUGCUGUGAAUGAGGUCCAUGCUGCUUUCAAUGAGGAUCAUUCUGCUGUAAAUGAUGCCAUUGCUGAUGGGAAUGAGAAUCAUAAUGUUGUGAAUGAUGCUCCUGCUACUGUUUAUGAUGCUCCUCUUAACUAUGUCAAUCACAAUAUUCCUCAGAGUAAUCAUGUGGAUGUAUCUGCUGCUAUGGAGGAAGAUUUCAUCCCUGUUCCUCUGGCUCAAAACAACCCUAUUCCCCCCCCCCCUCAGAAUACCAAUAUGAACUAUAAUGACAUCUCUGCUGCAAGCUAG
rnacentral:rRNA from 1 species